UGCCAGCCGCCGCGGUAAUACGAAAGGGGCUAGCGUUGUUCGGAAUUACUGGGCGUAAAGCGCACGUAGGCGGCAAUGUAAGUUGGGGGUGAAAUCCCGGAGCUCAACUCCGGAACUGCCUCCAAAACUACAUAGCUAGAGGAUGUGAGAGGUUGGCGGAAUUCCGAGUGUAGAGGUGAAAUUCGUAGAUAUUCGGAAGAACACCAGUGGCGAAGGCGGCCAACUGGCACAUAUCUGACGCUGAGGUGCGAAAGCGUGGGGAGCAAACAGGAUUAGAUA
rnacentral:rRNA from 1 species